rnacentral:misc_RNA from 1 species
UCUUUGCGCUCCAUCAUCAUCGUCCUCGUCCACGCUCAGUGGACACACGAAAGAGGCGCCUCUGCCCUUCGAUGCUAUCUGGCAGUGCCUCCUCCUCCUCGCCCUCGCACAACGCCAUCACACACAGCCAACCAUGUCGCUCCCGAGCAUGUCCCUGCACUGGAGCGAGGGCGACAACGGCGGCGGUAGCUUAGGCGGCAGCCGCCGCUCCUUCUCGAAAGGCAGCAUCUACCGCCACCACUUCCUCAGCCUCGACCACAGCAGCGCCAGGGACGUUGCCGUCGGCCUCUCGCGGGACGUAACGAACGACCGGCGUGCAACCGGAACGAGCGCCGGCUUUGAGUGGCUGCAGCCCUGGCGCACACCACAAGACUGCCGCGAGGGCGGCGUGGCUCUCCUGUAUAGUAUGCAGGAGGUCUUGGAAAAUGUGCGGCGGGCGAGGAAGACGAGCUUGAGUGAGCUCUACGCCGCGCGCGGCGCCGGCAGCCCGGCGGCGUCGACGACGAGCUUGUGCCAUCCUCAGCACCUCUGUCCCCCGCGUGCAGCAACCAGUGGCAGCAGCGACGACGCCGAGGGUCGCUGCGGCAGCGUUGGUGAGAAGAGCUCCUGCAGCGCCGCCGGCAGUCGCACGAGUAGUGUCGACCGGCGCCGUCAGCGCGACCGCGGUGAGCGCAACGUGUCUGUCGGAAAGGGCGUGCGGAGCGCUAGCGAUGACAGCGUGCAGGGGAUCGAGCUUGCAACAGAGGUGGGGAGGGUGGCGUUUUCGCCUCCCCUUCAAACCGCCACGGCGGCGGCGGCUUCGGUGCCGCCGAUAGUGCCGGUCAUCCCGCGCUUUUCGGAAGUCAAGACGGAGCAGGAGCUGGUCCAUCAGCGUCAGCAACAGCAGCCGCAGCCGCACCCUCGCAGCGAGGCCGCGAAGCGUAGGCGAUGCGCCUUGGCUAACUCCGAUGAUGACGACGACGACGCUGCACGCAGUCCCCACCACCCGGACGCGAGCUGCCCGAGCGGCGGGUGCGACCAGACGGCGCGUCCUGGGGACUCGCGGCAUCGCCCGGGCAUGAGCGUCGAGUGGAGCGGCAGCGACAGCAACGGAGACGAGCCGGAGGCCCUGGCGCAGCGGCGCCAUGCUUCGGGUGUGUCGGCGGACGAUGAUGACGUGGACACAUCCAACGUGCAUCACGGCAAGGACGAGGAGCGAGACGAGGAGGAAGAUCGACUGAGCGAGACCGACUUCGGUGAAGGUGGCCACCUCGCCUGCGUGCCAGGUGACACGCUGCAUCAGCGCUACACCCUUCUCAAGGCGCUUGGUGUGGGUCGCAGCAGCCGCGUGUGGCUUGCCGUCGAUCUCGAACAGUGCUCCUUGGCGCGUUGCCAGCUCAUCCGCGAGCUCGGCGAACGCGAGGUGCGGCGUCUGUUCAGGACGUUGGAGCGGCCAAUGUUCGUCGCCAUCAAGGUGUUUCGCUGCGAUCCCGCGUACGCGGACUGCGCCACGUACGAGUUGAAACUCUCAGCGCUCAUCCAUGAGAACGUAAUGAGGCGGCGGCAGCAGCAGCAGCAACAGCAGCAACGGUGGCCUCCCGCACGCGCGUCGCAUUCUGCUUCGCUGCCGUCCUCGCCGAUCGCGGUGCCGGCGGCGUGCGAUGAUCCCGGUGGUGAUCUCCAGGAGAGCAGCGACGGAGGAGAGAACAGCACGUCACGGCCUUGUGACGAAGCUGCGGUCCGCACGCGCGCAGACCCGACCUCCUCCACACCGCGCAGCGGCCGCAUCAGCAACAGCGGCAGCGUCAGCGCUGAGGUGGCGUCGCCUGCGUCGACCAGCGCAACGGCCUUCAGCGGGCGCCUCACGACGGUCCGCGACGCCUUCGCCGUCGAGGGCGCCUUCGGGACGCACCAAUGCCUCGUCAUGGACGUGCUUGGGGCCGGCGUCGACCGCGCAAUCAACGAGGCGCACCUCAACGGCUUCCCUUCCGCUGUCGCACGCUCCAUCAUGCAGUCAAGCCUGCAGGGACUGGUGUUGCUCGCCGCCUGCCAUCUUGUUCACACGGACAUAAAACCAGAGAACCUGUUCUUCACAGACCUUGAGGACGACGUCGCGGAAGAGAUGCUCACUUUCCAGUCCGCGCAGCUGCAUGCGAGUCAGCGCCAAACCCUCUGCAGCAGUUUCGCGCACCGGAGUACGGCGGCAUCCGUGAUGACGGAGAGGGAAGAAGUGGCCGCGCACGAGCAGCAGCAGCAGCAGCACCAUGGCGAUGGCGGCACAGCGGAACAUACUGGAGUUGGUCAACGCAGCCCCUUCUCUGAUCCCUCACUGCCUGAUUACACACACGUCGACGAAGCGGCGGCUGACCUGCACACCGUCCACGCUGCCAACGCCGCCGAUGCGGGUGCGUCAGGCGAUCGCGUUGCCUCGUCAGUCACCACCCUCAGCGCCGUCGCCGGCGGCCAUGAUACGCUGCACAGCAGCCAAGACAGCAUCGCCCAGGUGUCGCGCCGGCCCAACUUCGCACGCACGCCGACCCGGCGCCGGUCAGCGUACGAUGUACGCCUCUCUGGCCUUGGGCUGUCGCUUGUCGUUCCACCGUGCUUGCGGCUCGGGGUGCGCGUGCUAGCCAACUACGCUGCCGACGGUGGCGGCAUGACGGCCGACGAGCUCGUGCGCCAGGAUCCACUGGAGCAACUGCACUGGCUGUGCGCGCAGCAGCAGGCGCGCCUCUUGCGCCUUCCAGGCGACGACGACGACGACGGCUUGGGUAGCGUUGCGGAGCCGUGGAGGGAGGAGCGGUGGAGACUUGCUGGAACAUGUGCGCCAGCAGAGUCGCCACCACCGCCGACGCUGGAUAUCGGCAUGAGCGAGGACUUCAUCGACGAGGCAGAGCUACGCGCGCUGGGGCUGCAGGAGCUGCCAAAGAGCGACGCCGAUGGAGGCCGGUGUGCAGCGGGCAUGGCGCCUGACGAAUACGAAGAGGCGGACGUGACGGACUUCGUCGGCGUGCCAGCCGUGGACAAACCAGCAGCACAUCAUCGGACCACCGUCACCACGGCGGACGUGGGGGUAGUGGGCGGGACGCUGCCGCCGGCCACAUGGCGAACGGCAAGUGCUGCCACCCGUGCAGGAGGUGGCCGAAGAACACCGUUGGCCGCGGCGAAGCGAAGGCUUUUCGCGCAGUGCUUCCAUGAAGGCUUGGCCACCCCGCGGGACCCAGCAACGGUGCUGACCCGCUGCGAAGGCGUCGCUGCCGCCUCCCCCACGGACAGCAGCAGCAGCAACAGCAGCAGUGGCGCCGCGCCACCAGCAGGUGCGGCGGCGGCGGCAACAGUGCUGCGACGCCUCGAGUGCGAGAUUGUUCGCCACCAGAACUACCGCCGUGGCGCCGUCCUGCAGAGUCGUGAGUACCGCGCGCCGGAGGUGCUGCUCGGCGACUUUGUCCUGCCCGCGUGCGAUAUUUGGUCGAUGGGCUGCAUCGCCUACGAGCUGGUGAGCGGGCGCUUCCUCAUCGACUGCAUCGUGGACCGGGAGCGCUUCGCGACGGCACUGUCGUGGCAACAGCAGCAGCGACACGGAAGGAAGGGGUGUCGCGCCCCCGACGACGACGGCGGCGGCGCCCAUGAUGCGAAGGACCACAGCCGCGACGACGACGAAGAUACGCAGCAGCGCCUUAACAAGUGGGACGGGCGGCCCGUCUACCUCGAGGACACGGAGCAGGACCUGGACGUCUUUCACCUAAAGGCAAUCAUGCGGCUUCUCGGGCCACCGCCGGUGAGCUUCUUGCGUCAGCAGCCGAUCGGGCUCUUCAUCGACGACUUCUUCGACGAGCACGGCAACUUCCGCUUCUGGGAACGCGGCGAGGCCGAGGAGGCCGGCAUGCGUUUGGCAGACCCGUACCGCCAGCUAGAGUUGACGCACUGGGCGGCGGCAAGUCGGGUGUCCGGGGCGAGCGUCGCUGUGGGUUCUGGCGCUGAUCGGCAGCAGAGCCCGCCUCUGCCCGAAAGCGUCAGCGGCGUGGCUGCGUCGCUGGACACCGACCCCCCCGGCGCACCCUUCGCUGCCUCGGUAGGGCAGCACGUCGCAUCGGCCCAGGCGCGGCGCGACCCACAGGAUACGAUGAACUACCCCAUCAGGACACCAGCCUGGCAAGAUGUGCAGGCGAUCCUGCGCGAGAAGCUCGGCUCCGCGGAGGAGGCGGCGGACUUCGAGGUGUUCCUCCGCCGCUGUCUCCAAUGGGAUCCGGCGCGGCGGGCCACGGCGGCCGAGCUUCUCGCCGACAAGUGGCUUGUCAAGUACAGCGGCGUCGUGGCGGACGCGAGUGAGAGCGACGUGGUGGCGGAGAAGGAGGGCGGUGGCGACUCCGACGGGGAAGAGCGGCGGCUGUAACGGUUGCACUCCGCCAACUCCCAGCAACAGAAACGAAAGGAUGACGUCGACCGCGUCUCCACGGAGGCGCCCCAACGCGCGUAGGCCAUGUUUUGGGGAGGGGGUGCUCACCACCCACACCCCCUCCCAUGACGGACCUCGCGCGCCUGCUUUCGCCGACCCUGGUGGCCCCCUCCUCCCGCCCAUCCGUGGCGCGCAUCGCCGGCUAUAUCACGGCCGCGCCACAGUGGCACGCGCCCCCAAG